AUGGAGCACGCCGCGUGAGUGAAGAAGGGUUUCGGCUCGUAAAACUCUGUUGUUAAAGAAGAACAUAUCUGAGAGUAACUGUUCAGGUAUUGACGGUAUUUAACCAGAAAGCCACGGCUAACUACGUGCCAGCAGCCGCGGUAAUACGUAGGUGGCAAGCGUUGUCCGGAUUUAUUGGGCGUAAAGCGAGCGCAGGCGGUUUUUUAAGUCUGAUGUGAAAGCCUUCGGCUCAACCGAAGAAGUGCAUCGGAAACUGGGAAACUUGAGUGCAGAAGAGGACAGUGGAACUCCAUGUGUAGCGGUGAAAUGCGUAGAUAUAUGGAAGAACACCAGUGGCGAAGGCGGCUGUCUGGUCUGUAACUGACGCUGAGGCUCGAAAGUAUGGGUAGCAAACAGGAUUAGAUACCCUGGUAGUCCAUACCGUAAACGAUGAAUGCUAAGUGUUGGAGGGUUUCCGCCCUUCAGUGCUGCAGCUAACGCAUUAAGCAUUCCGCCUGGGGAGUACGGCCGCAAGGCUGAAACUCAAAGGAAUUGACGGGGGCCCGCACAAGCGGUGGAGCAUGUGGUUUAAUUCGAAGCUACGCGAAGAACCUUACCAGGUCUUGACAUACUAUGCAAAUCUAAGAGAUUAGACGUUCCCUUCGGGGACAUGGAUACAGGUGGUGCAUGGUUGUCGUCAGCUCGUGUCGUGAGAUGUUGGGUUAAGUCCCGCAACGAGCGCAACCCUUAUUAUCAGUUGCCAGCAUUAAGUUGGGCACUCUGGUGAGACUGCCGGUGACAAACCGGAGGAAGGUGGGGAUGACGUCAAAUCAUCAUGCCCCUUAUGACCUGGGCUACACACGUGCUACAAUGGAUGGUACAACGAGUUGCGAACUCGCGAGAGUAAGCUAAUCUCUUAAGCCAUUCUCAGUUCGGAUUGUAGGCUGCAACUCGCCUACAUGAAGUCGG
rnacentral:rRNA from 2 species